UUCCAUCUGGAAGAAAUACUGGAGACAGGUGCUGCAUGGCUGUCGUCAGCUCGUGUCGUGAGAUGUUGGGUUAAGUCCCGCAACGAGCGCAACCCUUGCCUUUAGUUGCCAGCAGUUCGGCUGGGCACUCUAAAGGGACUGCCGGUGUUAAACCGGAGGAAGGUGGGGAUGACGUCAAGUCCUCAUGGCCUUUAUGACCAGGGCUACACACGUACUACAAUGGCCGAUACAAAGGGCAGCGACACUGCGAGGUGAAGCCAAUCCCGUAAAAUCGGUCUCAGUCCGGAUUGGAGUCUGCAACUCGACUCCAUGAAGUUGGAAUCGCUAGUAAUCGUGGAUCAGCAUGCCACGGUGAAUACGUUCCCGGGCCUU
rnacentral:rRNA from 1 species